UCAAACUCUGAGUUUCACCUGCCU
rnacentral:piRNA from 1 species